CAGUAGCCGCGGUAAUACAGAGGGUGCGAGCGUUAAUCGGAAUUACUGGGCGUAAAGCGUGCGUAGGCGGUUUGUUAAGUCUGCUGUGAAAUCCCCGGGCUCAACCUGGGAAUGGCAGUGGAUACUGGCAAGCUAGAGUGUGUCAGAGGAUGGUGGAAUUCCCGGUGUAGCGGUGAAAUGCGUAGAGAUCGGGAGGAACAUCAGUGGCGAAGGCGGCCAUCUGGGACAACACUGACGCUGAGGCACGAAAGCGUGGGGAGCAAACAGGAUUAGAUACCCCCGUAGUCCCUGUCUCUUAUAC
rnacentral:rRNA from 1 species